UUCACCGUGGUCUCGAUCUCCUGACCUCGUGAUCCGCCCGCCUCGGCCUCCCAAAGUGCUGGGAUUACAAGCGUGAGCCACCGCGGCCGGCCGGAAGAGGCCUCUUAAUCUUCUGAACUCCUGAAGUACUUUCUCUCUUCCUCUGUUGAUUGCCGAGGCAACAGGAGGAUCCAGAGAUCAAUACAGACAACUCCUGUUUCUUCAACAACCUUCACUGAUGUCUUUACAUGCAAGGCAGAGGGAAGUCAUCGUUGCUCAGAUAUUGGGCUUCUGUUUGAGCACAUCUUGUUCCUCAAUUACACUGGAGUGGCCAGUUUCCAGCUAAGAUCCAGCCACUUCACCAUCGGCC